rnacentral:rRNA from 1 species
UGAGGAAUUUUGCGCAAUGGGGGAAACCCUGACGCAGCAACGCCGCGUGAGUGAUGAAGGCCUUCGGGUCGUAAAGCUCUGUCAAGUGGGAAGAAUCUGUCCGGUGAUAAUACCGCUGGGCAAUGACGGUACCGCUGAAGGAAGCACCGGCUAACUCCGUGCCAGCAGCCGCGGUAAUACGGGGGGUGCUAGCGUUAUUCGGAAUCAUUGGGCGUAAAGGGCGCGUAGGCGGUCGUUUAAGUCAGAUGUUGA